rnacentral:rRNA from 1 species
AGAUUAAACUGAAGAGUUUGAUCAUGGCUCAGAUUGAACGCUGGCGGCAGGCUUAACACAUGCAAGUCGAGCGGUAACAGAUCUAGCUUGCUAGAUGCUGACGAGCGGCGGACGGGUGAGUAACGCGUAGGAACCUGCCCAGUAGUGGGGGAUAGCCCGGUGAAAACCGGAUUAAUACCGCAUACGCUCUACGGAGGAA